rnacentral:lncRNA from 1 species
UCUACUGCUGAACCCCCUCUCCUUCUCAGAAUCUGCUGUUCUGCAAAAACACUUUACACUGGUCUCGAGGAAAGCAAUCUGACUCACGGCAGGCAACAAAGGGUGCCCCAGUGCCUUAUAACUUUUUCUUUUAAUGUGUGGGAUGUAACAAAUUGACACUCACCCAGGAACAGGCAGAGCUGACAGUCUGAGGUAGAGAAAGGUUCUCUGGAAUGGUCUCAGGCCACUGUACAGCAACAGUUCUGAGUGGCCACAUAGUGCUGCAUUUGAACCCCUGACCCAGGAACAAAAUGAAUUACGUGUAGACUGAAGUAUGGAGAUGGGACAAUUCUGGUUUCUCACGUUUCAAAGGAAUAAAGCAGUGACUGUAGACAGUGAUUGCUUGGAGCUAGCUCUUCUCUUCCCAGCUUGCCUAUGGAUUCUCCUGAGCAGCCAUCUUUCAGAUGCAUGGCACAUUCUGGAAACCAGCUCAAGUGUAAAAUUUUGGGAAGAGCCUUUAUUGCUGACUUCAGACAGGAAAAUCACACCCUGGAAAAGGCCAAGAAUGCUAGCAGGUCUGUUCCCAGUAAAGGGCUGAUGGUACUUGCAUGGUGCAGAAACAUGUUGAAUUUUCUCUCUACUUCCUGAGAGAAUUAUUAGACUGGCUGGUUU